GACGAACGCUGGCGGCGUGCUUAACACAUGCAAGUCGAACGGAAAGGCCCUGCUUUUGUGGGGUGCUCGAGUGGCGAACGGGUGAGUAACACGUGAGUAACCUGCCCUUGACUUUGGGAUAACUUCAGGAAACUGGGGCUAAUACCGGAUAGGAGCUCCUGCUGCAUGGUGGGGGUUGGAGAGUUUCGGCGGUUGGAGAUGGACUCGCGGCUUAUCAGCUUGUUGGUGGGGUAGUGGCUUACCAAGGCUUUGACGGGUAGCCGGCCUGAGAGGGUGACCGGCCACAUUGGGACUGAGAUACGGCCCAGACUCCUACGGGAGGCAGCAGUGGGGAAUAUUGCACAAUGGGCGGAAGCCUGAUGCAGCAACGCCGCGUGCGGGAUGACGGCCUUCGGGUUGUAAACCGCUUUCGCCUGUGACGAAGCGUGAGUGACGGUAAUGGGUAAAGAAGCACCGGCUAACUACGUG
rnacentral:rRNA from 1 species